AACGCGAAGAACCUUACCUACCCUUGACAUGGUCGGAAUUCUGCUGAGAGGCGGAAGUGCUCGAAAGAGAGCCGAUACACAGGUGCUGCAUGGCUGUCGUCAGCUCGUGUCGUGAGAUGUUGGGUUAAGUCCCGCAACGAGCGCAACCCUUGUCAUUAGUUGCUACGAAAGGGCACUCUAAUGAGACUGCCGGUGACAAACCGGAGGAAGGUGGGGAUGACGUCAAGUCCUCAUGGCCCUUAUGGGUAGGGCUUCACACGUCAUACAAUGGUACAUACAGAGGGCCGCCAACCCGCGAGGGGGAGCUAAUCCCAGAAAGUGUAUCGUAGUCCGGAUUGUAGUCUGCAACUCGACUGCAUGAAGUUGGAAUCGCUAGUAAUCGCGGAUCAGCAUGUCGCGGUGAAUACGUUCCCGGGCCUUGUA
rnacentral:rRNA from 1 species